rnacentral:lncRNA from 1 species
GUCAGUACAUGUAGUAGCUAGCUCCAGAAAAGGUAUUGUCCUGUAGCUUUGGCCUUACCUAGUAUGGAUAACAUUUUUAUGGAAAACUUGCUAUUUCCCUGGUGCGCUAACAAGAUGUGUUGGAAUAUCAGCUAGCGGCCUGAUCUGGCCAUGCCGCACCACCACUGGCACGUCCACCAUGGUUGCUGGCAGCCGUCCAAGUUGAGCGCUGAUGGGAGUCCUUAGCGUGCUUCAACGACACUCUCUCAUAUCAAUCUCUCUCUUUCUUUGCUCCUGCUAUUAAAAUGUGUAGAUGUGCUGCUUUGCUAAUUGAGUAGUUGGGAAGAUGUGAAAAGAACAUGCUCUCUAGGUGUGUGAUUAUUCCUGUGAGCACAAAUGUAUUUAAAUGUUUAUUUUGUGCUUCAACUUAUGCUUUUGGGCAGUACAAAUACAUCUUCAAAAAUAAGUACAGAUGCGGUCUUAUAGAACUCUAAUUGUUGUUGGAUGCUAUUCCAAAUGCCAAUGAUCAUGCAAAACGGUUAUUGCUAGAAUCUAGAUGAUAUGUAAUGUAGUUACCAUAGUUUCACCCUAUUUUUAUGGUUCUAAUUAUUGUUGCAUAAGUCUUUAAAAGAAAUGUUCGCUAAUUUUUUGUGAUCAUUGCUUGUAGGUAUUCGUAUGAACAUUAAAAUAAUGGCUUUUCUUGUAGGAGGUUCAAAGAUUGUUGUGGAGCAAGUUCAAGAGAUCAGUUUGGUGAAAAUAAUGUGAUCUUUUGGUCAGGAUUUUGCAUGAUCCAUAGCCAUCAGG